rnacentral:lncRNA from 13 species
AUGAGAAACUCAAACGAGAAUCUGACAAAGACAGAAGCAGGAACAGAGAGAGAAAUAGAGACCCAAUCAGAGGGAAAAAAGGGAACAGGUGGGAAAAGGGUGAACGAGGUAGUUAGAGAAGACAAGGAACAGCUGGGGGAAGGAGGGGAAGAGAAGGGAACAGGUGGGAAAAGGGUGAACGAGGUAGUUAGAGAAGACAAGGAACAGCUGGGGGAAGGAGGGGAAGAGAAGGCAACCCAAUACGACCAGCAGAGGGAGACAGGGUGAAGAGAAAGAACAGGAACAAGACACAACAUGACAAUACAUGACACCAAUAGUCAAACGUAUAUGAAAUACAAAUCGCAUAGAGAGAAAUAGCCCUAUAAAUACGACAUUAACUACAACCUAAAACUUCUUACCUGGGAAUAUUGAAGACUCAUGUUAAAAGGAGCCACCAGCUUUCAUAUGUUCUCAUGUUCUGAGCAAGAAACUUAAACAAUAUAUUUUUUACAUGGCACAUAUUGCACUUUUACUUUCUUCUCCAACACUGUGUUUUUGCAUUAUUUAAACCAAAUUGAACAUGUUUCAUUAUUUAUUUGAGACUAAAUAGAUUUUAUUUAUGUAUUAUAUUAAGUUAAAAUUAAAGUGUUCAUUCAGUAUUGUUGUAUUUGCCAUUAUUACAAAAACAUACGUAAAAAAUAAUAUACAAAAAUGACAGAUUAAUCGCUAUCUGCUUUUUUUGGUCUUCCCAAUAAUCGGUAUCGGUAUUUGCGUUGACAAAUCAUAAAUCGGUCAACCUCUACUAUGUAGGGAAUAGGGUGCCAUUUGGGAUGCUGACCUCUGGAGAUUAAAGGAGUGUCUGAUUCCCUAACUGCUGCUGCCUGAGCCUGGCUGUUCAGUCAUCUCUCUGUUUAAAGCCCUAGAGCCUAGCCAUGAAGCCUAGCCAUGGAGCCUAGCCCUGGAGCCUAGCCCUGGAGCCUAGCCCUGGAGCCUAGCCCUGGAGCCUAGCCAUGGAGCCUAGCUCUGGAGCCUAGCCACGAAGCCUAUUUUAUUUAUUUUUUAUUUCACCUUUAUUUAACCAGGUAGGCUAGUUGAGAACAAGUUCUCAUUUACAACUGCGACCUGUCCAAGAUAAAGCAAAGCAGUUUGACACAUACAACAACACAGAGUUACACAUGGAAUAAAACAAACAUAGAGUCAAUAAUACAGUAGAAAAAUACUAUAUACAGUGUGUGCAUAUGAUGUAAGAAAAGGGAGGUAACGCAAUAAAUAGGCCAUGGUGGCGAAGUAAUUACAAUAUAGCAAUUAAACACUGGAAUGGUAGAUGUGCAGCCUAGCCCUGGAGCCUCCCCUGAGAGCAUGGUGAUACAGUCAGAAGUGAGUAGGCAUGAUAGUAGUGAAUGACGUUGGGGUUGUCUCUCAAUAUCUGAACCUCACUAAAGUACUUGCAGACUACUGUAUUGCUCAAUUGCUGUAUAAAGAAUGUAUUGAUUGUAUGUGAGAUUCUGUACUGUAAAAUGUGCCUGUUGAUAAGCUAUUCUUCUCAACUAAUGAGUUGCUCUGGAUCUUGAAUCACAAGCUAUGAAUUAAGUAUUGUCUGUCCCACACAUGACUAUGCAGCUACAGUACUCCCUCUCUCUCACACACACACACGCGCGUCAGUUUAACAUAACCAUAAUAUGACGUGAGUGAUUGGAAACAAAGCUAUGGAGUUACUGUCAAAAAUAAUGUCUGUUGACAGAAAUGGCUGGCUGUCAUACUGGGGCUGCUAUACCGCAAACGAACAAGCUCGAGACAAAUAUAUCCACUAGCAUUACCAGAAUAAAAAUGUUAUGACGACAAUGCACGAUAUAAAUUCGCUCUAGUAACAGUCAGCUGUUACAAAGUAAUAACCACAUAAGUAAGUAAUUGGUGUGUUACAAUGUGUAACCACCGCGCCUGUGUUGCUUGACGAAGCUGCGUAGCUAGCCUAGCGUUGCUACAGCAGAUUUACGAUUGCGCGUACACGCACAUUGAUUGCACACACGGGCUACACUAGAGUGCCUCUUUGCAUUUAGCUAUUGGUUAGCAUAAAGAUAAUCAACCUACUAAGGCUAUGGGGACUCUGCGUUCUAAAAUAUCAUCUCGAUGCAUCUAGUUAUGGGACGACCUUGGCAGCGAUGAUUCAUUGCGUCAGUCCUUUUCAAAUGUAGCUAAUGUGGCCUACUGCAUUCGUGCAUGUUGACGUCAGCCAAUGUUAACUAGCUAGCUAUCAGUAUCCGUUUCCAUAGCUGCGGUGUUCAUACCUUGACCGCUCCGAUCCUUGAUCCGAAAGGAGCCGGGCGUGGUUACAAAUAAUCCUCUAUGUUUGUCUUGACGGAAUGUUGAGACAUUGAGUGGAAUUCCGCAGCGGGCGCGUUAUGCAUGCAACGUUGAUUCUGCAGCUGAGGUUUACAUACAGACAUGUGAAUUCAGCAGUGACAUAAUGAGUUUGAUUUAAUCGUCCCUUUUCUACUUCUCUCUCCCUGUCACCUCAGCAUCUCUCUCUCUCUAUCGCUGCAGAUCCCAGACGUGACUAACGGUAUCAGCCAGCCUGACUGCGCGCUCGUUCACGAUCGUAUCCCCCUCGCAACAUGCUCGCUAUGUAAACGCAUUCGUGAUUUAAAGCGCUAGUGCAAGUGUAAUUAUGUUUCAUGAACAUGGCCGCGCCCAAUAUUCCAUAGGAAGUUCCCGGACUUUAGUUACUGUUACUAGGUUUUGCAAACCUCAUAUUACAAUGUCACCUCUUCUAUUCUAUUCUGGUGUAUUUUCAUGUCAUUGUUUUCAUCAAUGAAGAUCCAGAUAAAACAGCGUUGUAGAUUUUGGUGCAACAUGCCAAUAUCAUGUGUGCUUUGGUAUUGUCUCUCUACCACAAUUUUAAGAGUUAUUGCAUUAACAACCACUAUUCACUGAACAUUUGCUGACAGCUAAGAAAUAUAUAUUUUUAGGGGUAAAUACUCCAAAGGAGCUUGAUAAGAAUGUUCAAAACUGCUCAUAUAGUUUUUGGAGCCAAUCCCAAACAACUACAUCUACCUCAAAUUCUUGCCACUUGAUUAUUGCUGACCUGUUAUAUGAGCAUGUGCUAUUUUCUCACAGUGCUUACACCUAUCUAUUUGUGCAUACAUUUUCAGAAGUGAAAGACAUCCCAAGGAUCCCGGAUUUCACUAAUCGAUUACGUAUCCAUGCACAAGACAGUACAGUAUACAACUCUGUUGUAUUUCCUUUUAGCUACAUCAAAGCAUAAUUUGAGAGGAGUCGUUUCGUGUGUAACAGUUAGCUCGAUCUAGCUAUGAUCGCCAAUGGAAAUCAAACGGUCUGAACGCCAACUAGUAGCUAAUGUGUAGCUAACGUGGCUAGCCUACCGUGCGUUCAUGUUGCUCUCGCCAGUCCUGGCAGUAUUCUGUCCAGUAGAUUCCCACCGCACUCUCGUCACUACAGGAUGCCCAAGCGCUUCGGAGCGCUAGUUCUUGUCGGACUGGCUCUGGCGUGCUUAGCUUCCUGGGUGCUGGAGAGCAAUGACACCCCCAAGGCAGUGUCAGGCUGUCUACACCGAAUUGGGCGAUAAAUGUCUAUAUUUGUACAUGGCCAAUCAGUUGACUGGAGUAGAUUCUACAAUGAGGUAAAGAAACCACAGACCUACAGAUAUGUGCAUUCUUUGUGAAUUUCACCUCAAAGCUGAGCAGUCAGUCACUUCACUGCUUAAUGCCCCUCCACUGGUAUUGAAUUACAAACACUAUUAUCUACAAUACAACAUUCAUGUCUAGCUUUCUACCAACAGGCAGUUGGUAGAACAGUUCACACAGGCAGACCAAUUCAUAUUGUUUUCUUUACUAAUUGGUCUUCUGACCAAUCAGAUCAGCUCUGAACAAGAUAUGAUGUGAAAAGAUCUAAAGUGAUUGGUCAAGACCCCCUCAGGUUGAUCUGUGCUGAUGUUUCCAUCACUCCUGGACCCAAGCGGCCGUUCAACUUAUUUGGCAUUCUCAACCUGGUAGAGGAUGCCCACAACCAGCCCAACACUAGCCUGGUCCCAGAUCUGUUUGGCAUGACAACAACCAUAGAAGUUGGCUGUAAAGAUCUGGGACCAGGCUAGCUCAACACAUCUGAAUAAUAUUUCUACUCCACUCUAAUCUAUU